rnacentral:sRNA from 1 species
CAGUGAAUGUCGAAUGGGCUGUAUAGUAUCACAGGAUAACGGGGAGGCCAAUUUUAGACCUACAGCCGCAUCCAAUACUCAGCUUUCCUUGAUUUCUGCAUUAUCUGCAACCUCUCUUCUUUCCUCACCCAAACUACCUCUGUUAGUCGCAUUGAGCUCGGCUAGGUUAGCAGAAUCAUAUAUCCUCGUAACUACAUUUUUUAUUCGCCAUCAUAUCGACUACAUCCCAGUAAACGCAGGAUUAAAUAUAUUUGCAAGGCUGGCCCCAAGUGCGAAGACCUGGGAAGACGAAUCGGCUAUAAUAACGAAACUCAAAGCGAAAGGAGUGGUAGUUCAAGGUGGAGGAAGCUACCACGGAACCUUCAAAGAGAAGGGGUGGGUACGAAUAUCG